UGCAAAGUAAACAAAUUAAAGAAACACUAAUUUAUACCCAAGAAGAAAAUAAUCAGGGUCAGAAUGGUAUUUUUGUUGCAUCAAUAUUUAUUCAGGACACCUUCCCAGAAAGAAAUGCUGAAGACUUCAAAGGUAAAGGACAAAACUUGUCAGAUGAUUAAAAUAAUAUAUAAUGAAGAACAGUUGAAAUGCCAUAAGCAGUUACCUGGAGUGGCAAAGAAAGGAGGGACACAAUUUGGAAGACUUGAAGAAGCUACUCUUUGAAAUAUGAAACCAGAUUAGUGAUUACCAUGGACCUUGAUGUUGACCACUGUGCUAAGUUCGUUACACACAUUAUUGCAUUGAAUUCUUAAUAAUCCCUCCAGAGUAAAUAUCUUCAUCUUCAUAUUACAGGCUGAGGAAUCUGGGACUCAGAGAGGUGAAGUGACUUCCCAAGAUCACAAAUAUCUGCAAAAGUCAACAUUAUGAAUAACUGAAAAGAAGAUGACAUAAGAAAUACAAUAAAGUCAGCAAACUGGUUUAUGAGGUCUGGAACCCUAUGUAAGCCAUGGUUGACCACAAGUAACUGAAACCACAGAAAUUACAAUUGUGGAUAAGGUGGGACUACUGUGUAACUUGGCAAAUGCUUCCUUUGCACUCAAUAACAAUGUGUAUUCUGCAAUAUGGUUAUAAUAGUCUAUAAAUGUCAAUCAUCUAUAUUCUUACUGAUUUUUCUUCUCCUAUUUGUGUUACUAAUUAAUGAGAAAGAGAUAUUUAAAUUUCCAACAAAAUUGUGGAUUCAUCUAUUCUUUUCCCUUUAGUUAUAACCAUUUCUGCUUUAUGUAUUUUGAAGCCUUUUUAUAAGAGUUACUUAGGAUUGUUAUUUCUUCUUGAUGAACAUUAUUAAAUGUUCUUAUUUUUACUGUUCAUGAUAACUUUUUGAAGUCAACUUUCAUAUUAACAUAGCCACACAGUCUUCCUUAUGCUUUUUGUUUUCCAGAUGUAUCAAUUUCCCGUGUUUCUUUCUACUUCUUGGUGUCCGUAAAUUUAAAGUAUAUUUCUUAUAAACAGUAUGUAGUUAAGUUCCAACAAUCUCUGCUUUUUUAAUGGAUCCUUUUGUGUGGUUACAUUUAAUCUAUUUGUUAGUGGUGUUACUUUAAGUCUACUAUCUUGCUCUAUUUGUUUUCCAUUUGCUCCUAAUGUUCCUGGCUUCUUUGUUUCUUGUUUCCUGUCUUCUUUUUGGUAAAUGAAAUCAAUGUUAGUAUUCCAUUCCAAAUCCUCUGUUGACUUUUAGCUAUACCUUGUAUCAUGCUUGUUCUGAAUAUUAAAAGUACAGCCCUAACUUAUCAGAAUCUACCUUUAAUUUUUUUUUAAAGGACUUCAAAUGUAACAACCCUGCAAGAGUUUUAUUUUAUUCACCCAUUUAUCCUCAUUCUUUAUCAUAUAUAUGUUGUUAACACAUAUUUUAUUAACAUAUACUAAACCACAAAAUGCAUUGUUAAUAUUUUUACUUAAGUUGUGAGUUGACCUUUAAAUGUUUCUUAAUAGAGAGAAAAACAUUUACUUUUAUUUAUGUUCAUGGAUACCUUUUAUACCAUUACCAGUUCUCUCGAUUUUUGUCUAUAUAUUUUAAUUUCUAUCUGGUACAUUUUCUUUCAGUUUGAAGAACUUCUUUUUGCAUUUCUUUUGUGGCAUGUAAAGGAAAGAGAUUUGAUUAGCUUUUAUGUAUACAGUUUUUCUUUUAUAAUUUUAAACAUUAUUUCAUCAUAUUUGGCAUUCAAUUUUUCAAAUGAGAAAUCAGUUCUCAUAUGUAUUGUUGCUGUUCUUUAUAUAAUGUAUUAUUUUCCUUGAUGAUUAAAUAUUUUCUUUUUAUCCUUGGUUUUAAAUAGUUUGGUAAUGUACCUAGAUUUUUAAAAUAUUAAUUUAUAUUUUAUGUUGUUUUGCAUUUGUUGAACUUUCUUGAUCAGUGGUUACUCUAACUAGCCCUAGAGAUUCAUAAAACAUUGGUAUGAGGCAGAUACUGUGCUUUUAAUGUCUUGAAUUCAACUCUCUUAAGAACUUGAUUGUGUAGCACAUUUAGGCAUUAAUGGUAUAUGUUCUUAGGCCUAGAGAAUAUAACUCACAUUUUGUUCCAUGAAAGUUCAGUAAAUUACUAAAAUGAAGUUGGAAAAAACAAGGCAAGUCAAUGUAGAAAUGAACCAUUAAAAUAAUAGUAGAGAAAGUAUUUUUGAUAGUAGAAAAGCAAAGGAAAAAUAAACAAUUUGAUUUCAAAUAAAGUAAGUAGAAAAAAUAUGAUUUUAAAUUACAUUUUGACAUAAACCUUAGAAGUUUUUAUGCAGUAGAUAAUUUUUGUGAUACAGGAAAGGAAGCUCAUGACAAGGCAGUCAGUUAUUCUAGUGAAAAAACACUUACAAAGUAACAGCAAAAAAACGAUACUACAUUUUUGUUUAUCUCACAUUGUGUAAUGGAUACUUAGUGAAACAUAAAACCCACUGGUCCAUAUAGUUAAAGAGAUUAAUAGUUAAAGAAUGAGGAUACACUGAAAAUUGAAGUGUGAGGAUGGGCAGAGAAGAAUUUUUUGAGUAAUGGAGCAGCUCUCAGUGGAGAGGGGAUACCAUACGGUGGUUCCACAUUCCUGCUGUUGGGUGGGUUCUCUCUCCCUGUGGCUGGGUCUGUGGCAUUUUAUGGACUCAGAAUGGGAAGUGCAUGCUGAUGGGUUUGUGAGUAUGCAGAAAGGUUAAUGAGAAGACAUCACUCAAAGGGGGGUACAACAGUAUAUAAAACCCAUUAGGAAAAGGUAGGUAUAUGUCAAAUCUGUCAAGGGUAGGGAUCAAUUAGAGGAAAGUGCGCCAAACAGGGAGACGGGUUCUCAACCCUGUCCAUGGAUUUGACUUGUAGCUUGGCUUUCAGGCUUUAAACUGUCUUUGGCUUGGGGUGGGGUUUCACCCCUAUCUGCCUAGGCAUUUUCCUGCCUCCUGCGCCAUCACCACCUUGGGCACAUGUUCUCAGGAGCUGUGUGUGUGUGUGUGUGUGUGUGUGUGUGUGUGUGUGUGUGUAUUUACUGUUUAGAUUAUGAAUCUCCCUCAAGAACAACUCUUCUUUGACAUCUUCAAUUUGUCAUUCUCCUUUGACCUGUCGACCCAACAUGUCACAUCCUCAAGAAGAUUUAGGUACACUGACAUGAAAUGAGACUUUUUCCUCAUUUUCAACUAGACAACUUUAUUUCUGGAUCCAACCUCUCAUCUUUUUUCUAUAGCUUUAGGGAGAAGAAACUUCCCUCUGGUGAUUCAUUUAUAUUUGUUUUCUAUUUCUUACUGAUUUUUUUGGAUCUGACUACCAUACAUAAUUCAAUUUCUGUAUUAGGCCAUUUUCAUACUGCUAUGAAGAAAUGCCCGAGACUGGGUAAUUUAUAAAGGAAAAGAGAUUUAAUGAACUCACAGUUC
rnacentral:lncRNA from 1 species